UUUCCGCCGGCGCGAAACGAGCGUAGCUUCCUUGUCGUGUGGCCUCAGUCCUUCGCCGUCCCUCGCCGUCCUUCGCCAUCGCACGCCACCGCACCCCAUCUCUCGAAAUCUGCAGACAUCUUGAUUUUUCCCACGCUGUCUGUCAGGUCUCCGCCGCCACUCGACGCCAGGGCGCCGGGUGAGUCCACAGCAGGGCGCAUGGUCGGCUCCACUCUCACCAUCGGGGGAAACUGAGGCCCCGGGGAAGGCGGCCAGAGAGGUCAGGCCCUGUCCUUGGUGCAGUGUCUCGUCCUCUUUGCCGGAGUGAGCCCCCCAGGAUUCGCGUGUCCUCGGGAAAGACACUGGCAGGCCUUGUGGGCUGUGCUGCACCUCGGACGGCUUCGCACCAGCCAGCGCCCUCUCUCUCCUGCAGCACUCUGAUCUGCACCCCCUGAGGGGCUUCCACUGUCCGCGGGGUGAGAAUGCCCCUGGGAGUGUCACAUGACUGCCGCCCCAUGUGUGUGAGAGGCGUCCUCUGGGAGAGCAUGGAUCCUGAGGUCCCAGGAUUGUCAGCUGACCUCUGUCCUGUGUGCCCAGUGGCCCCAGGUGACGUGUCUUCAAGAAGAGGCUGAGCUGCGGUGCUUGUAAGGCAGGGUCUCAUUCUGUCACCCAGGCUGGAGUGCAGUGGUGCAAUGAUGGCUCACUGCAGCCUCGACCUGGGCUCAAGUGAUCCUCCACCUCAGCUUCCUGAGUAGCUGGGACCACAGAGUCAUGUGCUGUUCCUGGGGCUUGGAUGAUGUAGGGGAAGCAAGGUGAAAGUGGUAUCCCGUGGUUCCACGUUCUGUCCUGCUGUGGGGCUGUCCCUCACAUGCUUUCAGUGGCUGUUGCAGAGGAAGAGCCUCCGGAAAUCUGCGUGGGUAAAGUCUCAGCCUUAGAUCCAAGGACAGUCCAAGGAAGUCCUAAGACCAUGGAGUUGGUGAUCUGGGAUCUGGGUUUGCUGAUAUUUCUCACCGUGAAUCUCUUGGUGGUGUUUGUGGGCACGAGAGGGGCAGAGAAUGGAGAGUGAGGCUACCACAUGAAGCGUCACCAGAGCUGCUCCCUGCUGCCUGCUCAGAGCACCCCGGAUCCACUGUUCAAUCUGCACAAGAUUCGGGGUCCAGACAUGGGAGACUUCAGCUGCCUCAGAGGACCGUGGACAGGGAAGGCCAGCCUCGCAUCCCUCUGUCCAUGCCUGGAAUGACUUUAAUAACCAAGAGUUUUAUUUUUGAAUUUGUAGCUGUCGUUCACUUUUUACCCACCCAUUCAAUAAACCUUACAGAAUUG
rnacentral:lncRNA from 1 species